UCGGCCUACGGGGGGCAGCAGUAGGGAAUCUUUCACAAUGGGCGAAAGCCUGAUGGAGCAACGCCGCGUGCAGGAUGAAGGCCUUCGGGUUGUAAACUGCUUUUAUAAGCGAGAAAUAUGAUGGUAACUUAUGAAUAAGGAUCGGCUAACUACGUGCCAGCAGCCGCGGUAAUACGUAGGGGGCAAGCGUUAUCCGGAUUUACUGGGUGUAAAGGGAGCGUAGACGGCAGAGCAAGUCUGAAGUGAAAGCCCGCGGCCCAACUGCGGGACUGCUUUGGAAACUGCCCGGCUAGUGUGCUGGAGAG
rnacentral:rRNA from 1 species